UGGGGAAUAUUGGACAAUGGGCGAAAGCCUGAUCCAGUCAUGCCGCGUGUGUGAAGAAGGUCUUCGGAUUGUAAAGCACUUUAAGCUGGGAGGAAGGGCAGUAAGCGAAUACCUUGCUGUUUUGACGUUACCGACAGAAUAAGCACCGGCUAACUCUGUGCCAGCAGCCGCGGUAAUACAGAGGGUGCAAGCGUUAAUCGGAAUUACUGGGCGUAAAGCGCGCGUAGGUGGUUCGUUAAGUUGAAUGUGAAAGCCCCGGGCUCAACCUGGGAACUGCAUCCAAAACUGGCGAGCUAGAGUAGGGCAGAGGGUGGUGGAAUUUACUGUGUAGCGGUGAAAUGCGUAGAUAUAGGAAGGAACACCAGUGGCGAAGGCGACCACCUGGGCUCAUACUGACACUGAGGUGCGAAAGCGUGGGGAGCAAACAGG
rnacentral:rRNA from 1 species